rnacentral:lncRNA from 1 species
CUUAUCUGUCUCUAAACUUAGGGACCCUCCAUAACAAUUUUUAGCUCUUUCUUCCAUUGCCCUCAUGGCUAUGACAUAGUCUGGCAAAGGCUUGCUCGUACGGUCUAGAAGUUCUCUGAGAUAGCGUGUUUUGUGCACCUCAAAGGUCGAUAAUUCUUCUUUACCGUGAUGAUAAGGACCAAUUGCUAGCAUUUUUGGUUCAUAAGCCUUUUCAUUUAACUUACGCAGUACAUCAGGCACCUUAAAAAUGUUGAACCGAUCAGAUGGUGUAGCAGUUAGACCAUCAAGCUUUUCCUUAACAAGAUCAAGUACUCUGUCAGCUGAUGGACUUGCCAUGCCUUGAUCUGCAUUUUAAGUCACAGGAUCAAAAUUUCAAAAAUGUUGAAAUCUGUAUAUCCAUAAUUAUUGACAACCACAGAAGACACAAGUACUUGAAUUUUUCAUAAAAGCUACUAUGAUUGUCAGGAAUUAUGUUUGAAUUUUAAUAAAUCUAGCUAACACCUAGUGAUAGAUAAUAGUUUCGACAUCUAAGAAUUAUACUACUUGCACAGCAGGAGGGAGUGAAACAAAAUCAUCAAUAUUCAACAAUAACCCAUUAAUUGAAUGACCAAAAACAACUCAAAAAGUUAUAUAUUUGUUUCGAUUUCAAUUCUUUAUAUCCUUAGUAAUAGUUCCUACAGCACUAAGCCAGAUCAUGGAUCUCUACUGUCACACGACUAAAGAAACCAAGCAGAAUUCACACGAAGUCGAUUAAUGCUUCAGAGUUAUAAGAUAUAUUAUUCUAAACAAUUUUGUAAUAACUUACUCGUUUGAAGGCUACCGUUCCUGUUGCUUAACGAGAUCGCAAUCUUACCGGUGCAAUGACGAGAUCCCAGUCUUACCGUUGCAAGGAAUUCGAUCCUUUGUUUUCUUUUGAUGAAAUAAAGUAGUAGAAUGUUUACUAAUAAUACAAAGGAGACUUCACGCGGGUGUGGGCUCCAAUCCGAAAAUUUAAAAUAUUUUAAAAUGAUUCUGACCAUAAAUUCAGCAUUCAACAAAGCUCAAUUUUACAACAUUACCCCUUCAACUGUAAACUUUCUUGAACACUCUUCUUUCUCCCUCAAUUGUUUCUCUUCUUUUCAAAAAAAAUAAAAGAAAAGAAAAAUUGUUUCUCCUCAAUCUGAUGAAAAGCCACUUGAAACCAGAGCUCUUUUUUUUUUUUUUUAUAGUAAAAAUCUGUUUCAGAAUAUCAUCGAACAAGUUCUCUAGCUUAAAAUUAUCUUGACAAAUCUUUUUUAAUUUUUACUUUUUUUAUUAAAUAUACAUUUCACAAUAUCACAUGAAUUACAUACACAAGUAAAUUUUUUUAAUUUAAGCUAAAAAAGGAAGCCUAAUUCAUUUUACCAUCCGGCCAACCGAAAGUUAUUAUAGACUUAUAAUGUUCUUAAAAUUCACUCAAUAUACAAUUUAUUUCUUUAUUUUUAUUUUUUAUUGAAUGUAUCCCAAUAUUCACUUGUUUUUUUUAUUUUGAGUGAUUGUCUCACUCGCUGAUUCUAGAUUCGACAUGUGUCCCAUAACACAUCUUUUAUAUUUACCGAAAAGCACACUCGUAUUUUUGUCUUUUGCAUCAUUAUUUUAUUUGACUUAAACAUCAUCCUAUAACCUCACAAUAAUUACUUACACAAGUGAAUUUUAAUUUAAACUUAAAGCUUACUUGAUUUUAAUAAUUUUUAGAUUAUUUGAGUCAUUCUAUGUAGUAAAAGACUGUGUAUUUGUUUAAUAAUUAUAUUAUACAGUUUGUUAAAUUAUUUGGUCCUUUUUCAUUGUCAUUGAAAAAGAAUCUUUGAAAUUAUGUUUCCAUAAUUAUUAAAUUAAAUGGGUGCAUAUAAUGCUAAAUUUAUUAUAUAAAAUGUUAUUGUUUAUAUUUAUCCUUGCCCCAUUUUGAUCUUGUUAUGUUUGGAAUAUUUUACUCUAGCUAACUCUCCAAAUAAUUGAAAAGGUAUCAAGAAACAAUUUGUUUGUUUGUUGUUUGUUUAUUUAUUUAAAUCUAUGUGUGGUUCAAAAAAAAAAAAAUUCAUGGAACUUAGAUAACUACAAAUAUAGUUCAAAUAAAUUUCUAAGUUUCUGGCUUCUCUGGGACUUGAGAUAAGUAGUUGAAAGUAAUUUCUUGAAAUUUAGGAGAAGUAAUUGGAACAAUUUUGGAGAAACAGUUGACGUGUUUGAUCAAAAGUAUUUUGCUUAAACUUUGAAAGGACAUUGUGGUAAAUAAAAAGUGGCAGGGCUUUAAUUAUAAUAAAUAUAUGGGAUGAUAGUUAAAUCAAGUAAGACAAUGAAUAUAAUAGACAAAAUAAACAAUAGAUAAGUAUAAAACUAUAAAUGAUGUUUGGACCUGCCGCCUAUGGUACAGAUUCUGUACCUAACAUCUCCCCCCGUCAUCCCACCAUCCCAUUUUCUAUUGUUUAAUUUCUCACUCCACAUCCAACGACAUCCAACGGCUGAUGCUGCAGUCUGUAGCUUACUGAUUCUGUAAGCUAGUCGAGUCCAUGAUGUUUAUGGAGCCUACAACACUUUUUAUCUCUCACGUGUCAAAUGCAAAAUGAGAGACCAUAGCAUUCGUCUUUUAUUUUUUUCUGCUUUUCUUUUAAGAUUGACACUUUUUCCUCAUCGGCAUCACUUUCUACAAAUCAAUUCUAUUGGUAUAAGAUUGUUUUAUACCUUAAUUAAGGUCUUUGGUAAGUAUAGUUGUAUUAAAUAUUUUUUGAGAGAAUUUUAUCUUAAUGAAGAAUACGAAGUUUUUUUUUUUUUACUAUAAUCUAUUUUGUAAAUAGUAAUUAAAAAAAUGAUUUCAAAUUUUUAGGUAAAAAUUAUUAUUACCACUUUUUUGGCUAAAACUUUUUCAAUGGAUGUGAAAAAGUUCAAUAAUAAAGGCGAACAAACUUUUUGAUUUGGCCACCAAUAGCACUAUACGAGUGCAAAGGAACGUAUGAUCUGGAGUUCUGGACUGACUUAGCCAUUAUGAGUCCUUUUGAAUAAUAUUGUUUUGCUGCAUUUUGGAGGACUUAAAACUUACUUUCCAACUUCAUUGAAUGUUCUUCAAAGGAAAAAUAAAAAAUGAUCUUGCAUAGAUUUUUUCUUCUAAUUACUUGGGAGAACGUUUCGGUAAUGGUUUUGAUGGCUUUCCUCAGUAGAUUAAUUUAUUAUUUAGUUUGCUUUUGAGUUUUAGUACUUUUAAGUCUUUGUAGCUAAUUGACGUUCGCAAUAGAACUAGCAAUAAAUUAAAUUAUUUAACAGAAAGAAGCAUAUCCUAUCCAAAAAAAAAGAAAGAAAGAAGCAUAUAGUAUUCACAUCUUCAUCAGAUAUCAGAAUAAAUAAAUUAUUGUGGUGUAAAACUUCUGUACAAUUUCCAUCCAUCACCUGUUAUAUGUUUAUCCAAAAUCCAAUUCAGAGAGGAAGCAUCACCACUAGUCCACUAGGGCACACUAGAAUAAGAUCACUGUGUAAAAGCAAAGUAUAUAUGAACUGAUAGUGAAAUUUACUUGUUAAUUCCUAUAUUAAACGAAUUAAAUCCCAUGUUUCAAUAAUAAACUUGUUAAUUUCAAAUCACAGAUGCAGCACAACUACUGAUAACUAAGAUGAAAGCAAUGUGUAAGUAUGAACUGAACUACGAACUAGCUGUGAAACUUACUUGUUAAAGGCUGCCUGCCUGGCCUUGCUCACUUAAUCUCCGAUCUUCUUUGCGGUGCUAGCUAACUCCUUAGUAAUUUCCUUACGGAAUGAAAACUUCGGUAGCCAAUGGCUCAUACUUAUAUACAGUAGUUAUUUGUCCAGUAGUUAAGACUCUAUUGCCUUGUGACUCAUACUUAUUUGUCCAGUAGUUAAGAUUCUAUGUCUUGGGUAGCUGUAAUCUAACGGUUCUGAUUUAACUCACUAUUCAUUCUCAAAACCCCAGUCAUUAAAUUUCACUCAUUAUAAUCUAACGGUUCCCAACAAACUGAUAAAUAAGGGGGGCACGGUGCCUAAGGGGCUGGUAGCUGGACCCAUAUUUUCCAAUGAUAUAAAUACACAAAAAGCCAAAGGCCAAAAAAUAAACGAAGGAGGGUCAUAAAUAUCUCUCCUCGUGGCUGGUGAGAUUGGCUGUAGUUAUCAUUUUUACAUUUCAAAAGCCACCGUACUUGUCAACAGUCAUAAUUACAUGUUUGCAUGUACUCCAAUCUUGCCUGCCAAUAAAACAUUUUGAGGAGUGCUAGAAACAGUCGCUUGUUUCUUGUGUUGACACGUAUUUUUCUUUUCAGUUCAUUUAUGGCUAUUUAAUUUUACCAUAAUAUCCUUAUUAAAUCUUCUUCCAUGAAGCGCUUUUUUUUUUUUUUUUUUUUUUAAAGAGAAAGAGAGAAUAAUGGAGGUGAGGCUCUCCAUUUUAUGGUGGCAGCAGAGGAAUCCCAUGCAUCCAUCCGCCUUUUUCUAUGAAGCUUUAAUUUAAUAAGUUCUUAUGAAAAUUUUUCUUUUUAGAAAAAGUUAAAACAAAAACCCAGCUUAAGAGAUGACUAUCCUGAAAUUUGCAAGACUUCUGAUUUUUAUUUUUUUGGUGUUAUACUGAAGAUUUUAUUUAUAAGCAGAUCUAAACCCUUUUUGAAUGGUUGAAAAAAUUGGAGCAACUUUUUGUUGGGUGGGUAUUUUUGUUGGGGAAGAAUGAAAGUGGUUCGAAGAGUUAUUGAUGAGUAAUGGGUGAGAGUGAAUUUGAGAGUGAGGAUAAUGGCCAUUGAUGAAAUGGCGAAAUCGAGUGAGUUUAGUGAGACACAGAGGGAGAAGGCUUGAGGGCCCGAAAUGGAUGGAGGAAAAAUUGAGGAAGAGAAGAAUGAAAAAUGGAUUGAAGGAUAAAUCUGUAAUUUAAAAAUGAUGUUUUUUUAUAAUGAAUAAAAGUUUGGAGUGUUACGCAACUACAAAACUGACAUCUUUAUAAUAAAUACAAACAUAUUAUUAAAAUAAAUACAAUAAUUUAAAAUUUUAAUAUUACUUUAAAUGUUAAAAAUAAUUUAGUAUUAUUAAUCUACUAAAAAGAUUAUAUUAUUUUAUAUUACAUCUGUGUUAAUUAAAAACUUUUAAAGUUAAUCUUAUAAUUAUUUCAUUCAAAGGAUAUUAUAAUUAAAAAAAUAAUUUUAAUGUUCUUUUUUUUAAAUUUAAGAGUUUUCGUGAUUAUUUUUUAAAAUUUUGCAAGUUUACGUAUCUUUUUAUCCUUUAGCAUAUGAAAAAAUAAUAUGUUUUAUUAUAAAAAAAUUUAAUAUUAAAUUUAGUAGGUUUGAUUAUAAAACUUAUUAUGUGUCCAUUUUAAAAUCUCAGUACCGUACAUCCGCCUUGGCCGUACAGCAGCUCAGCACUUUAAUAUAUUGAGAUAGAGUAAUGAUAAAGUCAAAAAUUUUUGUAUAAAUUUAUUUUAUAUAAACUUAAAUGAAAAUAUAAAAUAGUAAAAAUAAAUUAUGUAAAUCUAGAUAUAUUUAAUUUAAUUAAUUUUAAAAUACCACAAUAAUUUAUAUAAAAUAAAAUUUUAUAUCAUAAUUUGUGGAUAUUAGGAUAAUUCCGCACAAUUGCUUCUCAAGAAAAAGAUCAAGGAUCAGGUAGACAAAAUGUGUGGUAGCUAUGGUGUACACAGUACACGUCACCUCAAUUGACAAUUAGUGGGAGUGAAAAAAUCUAGCAAAAGUCUGCUGAAAAUGGGUUACGUAACAUAUGUCGGUUAGGUGAAAAUGGUGGUUAAAACUUAAAAUCAAGGGUCCGCUUAUAAUAGAGUGCUGUGUAUUGCAACGUGUCUUCUCUCUCUUCAGAAAAUGAGCACACGUGAAUUUUAAAUUGAGCCCACGAUCAGUUUAAAAAAUUAAACUAAACAUUGCACGUGAUAGUUGAGGACAAAAAAUUAAAUUAAUUUUUUUAUUAUGAAGUAUGUAUUAUUUUUAACAUCUAUUUAACAUAUAUAUUCUUUUAACUUUAUAUUUAUCUUACAAUUAAUAUCUUUACAUGAUAGGAAUUUGAAGUUUUAUAAGCCUAUAUAUUUUCAUUUUAAUUGCAAAUAUCACUUUAUUAAUUUCACAAAAAUUAAAUCUAAUAUGAACCGUGAAAGAUUAUUUUAUUAAUAUCAUUUGAUUGUAAUUAUAAAAUUUUAUAUUAUUAAGAAUCACUACUUUUGUUAUGAUAAUUAAUAGUGACAAUAAAUAAAAUAUUACAUCCAAUAAUAUUUACAUGGGAAAAAAAGUGAAAGAAAAUUAUUUAUAUUUUUAGAUUUUUAUUGAUAUGAUAGAAAAUUAUCUCAGCCUUAUAAAAUUUAACUUUUACAAGUUUGUUUUCAUUUUAUUUUCAAAUGUCACUUUGUUAAGUUCAUAAAAAUUAAAUCUAACACAUAUUCCUAAUUAACUUUAGUUUAUAAAUUAUGGAAGAUAAUUUUAUUGUUAUUCUUUAAUAGUAAUUAUAAAAUUUUAUGCUACAAAAAGUCAUUACUUUUAUUAUGAUAAUGAAUAGUGACAAUAAGUAAAAUAUUACAUCAAAUAAUAUUUAAUGGAAAAAAUGAGGUUGGGAUACUUUAACUUAAAAUUUUGGCACAAUAUUUGAGCCACUAAUAUCUCAUAGUCUAAUGGUUGAUAUUGAAAGUCAAAACAACAUUUCAUAAUGUUAUAUCCUCCACCAUUGAAUUGCAUGAAAUAAAUAGUUUAAUUUUUUGAUAAAAAAUAAAAUCAAAAUAUUUCUCACUCUAUAAUUAUAUAGAGAUAUAUAUUUUUCAAUAAUAAUUGGUUAAUAAAAUAUUUCUUAUUUGUUGUGACUCAUAUAGUAUUAUUAAUAAAACACAUAUAAAAUAGUUUAUUGCAAUGCUUUCUAUUAUCAUUAUUGUUUAGGUAUUAAUGGUUUGUAAUUAAAUUUAUACAAUACAAAUUAUUACAAGACUUUGUGUUAAAUAUACUUGAUAUUAUAUUUUAUACUUAAUGGUAACUGAUUUUGGAAGAUUUAUUUAAAAGAGAUUAUCAUAUUACAAAUUUAAAGGAGGGCUGAAAAGUAAUUUUAAAUAAAUAUACUAUUUAAGUGGAAUUGUUUCAAACUCUAAGGGUGGUUACAAUUAUUUUACAAAAAUUAUCCACCCACUUGAACUGUUACAAUUAUUUUUAAAUUAUUUUUUAGUACAAAUAUUGUAUACCAUUAAUUAGAUCUAAUGGUUCACAAGUGAUACAUUAUUGAUGCUGUAAAAAACUUUACAGCACAUAGAGUAACCCAACCCUUAUUUGAUUUUAUGGAUUAAUAAGUGGAAGUUCCACUAUUGCUUAAGUAAUGGAUUUCAUUAAUUUUGAAUAUUGGUUUUGCUAUUCAGCCAAAAAGCUCUGGAAGGGUGGGCGAAGACAGAGAAGCUUCCGUUUAAAAUAAAAAAUUAUAUAUAUUAUUUGAAUUUUAUUUGUUUGUACAAUUAGUUCAACCAAAUGCUUCAUUUUGAUUAAUAACAAACUAACUUUUAAUAUUUUGCUUGGUGAAUGGUGAUAAAGAGCUUCACGUCCCAGUAUAUGAUUUAGGUUUUAGAUUAAACAUAUUAAAAAGCCAAAGGCAAGAAAAUAAUUUUUAUUCAUCAGCUAUCUUCUAUUUUAUAAUGAUAUAAAUACGCAAAUUAUCCUAACAAUUACAAUAGAAAGUUAAAAGGAAAAUAAAUGAAAGAGAAUAGUAAUUAUCUGGUGGGAUUGAUGGUAGUUACGAUUAUGUCUAUUACAUUUUAAAAGUCAUCAUUACAUGACAUCAUUACAUUUUUGUAUGUGCUCCAUAAUUAUUAUGCUAGCUGCCAAUAAAACAUUUUUUUCCAUUUUCCAGCAUAUGUUUGGAAUUGCAUUAGCCUAUGGAGAGAUCAAUUCUUAAUAAUAAAUUAAUGUCAUCAUCAAUAAUCCGUCUUGGGAUUUUCAUAAUCCGCUUUCAAACUUUAGAUCGAACAAAAAUUUUACCCUUUUAGAGAUAUUUAUAAUUAAAAAAAAAAGUGAAAUAUUUUUUGUGGGAUAGAUUAAUAAUAUUUUCAUAGGAGAAAAAAAAGAUACAUACAUCCUCAAGAUUUAAAAAAAUAGUCAUAGAACAUCUUAAAUUUUUAAUAAGGGACACUAAAAUUCCAUUUUCACCAUGACCCUUUGACACUAUAAACUCAAAAUAUUGACCCCCAAAAAUUUUAUAAUAAAUAGAAAUAUGACAUUAAAAUAAAUAUAAUAAUAUAUAUUUAAAAUAAUUUUACAAUCUAUUAGAUUUUUUAAAAUUUUAAUAUUACUUUAAAUAUUAAAAAUAAUUUAAUAUUAUUAAUCUACUAGAAAGAUUAUAUUAUUUAUAUUAUGCUUGUAUUAAUUAAAAAUCUUUAAAGUUAAUCUUAUAAUUAUUUUAUUCAAAGGAUAUUAUAAUUAAAAAAUAAUUUUAGUGUUCUUUUUUUAAAAUUUAAGAGUUUUCAUGAUUAUUUUUUGCAAUUUUGAAAGUGUAGAUGUCUUUUUAUCCUUUGGAAUGUGAUAAAAUAAUAUGUUUUAUUAUAAAAAAUUUUAAUAUUAAAUUUAGUAGGUUUGAUUAUGAAAUUUGUUAUGUGUCCCAUUUAAAAUCUCAGUACUCCAGUACAUUGAGAUACUAGGACAAUUACGCACAAUUGCUUCUCAAGAAAAAGAUCAAGGAUCGGACGGACAAAAUAUGUGGUAAUUAUGGUGUACAAGUUACCUCAAUUAUUGGGAGUGAAAAAAUCUAGCAAAAGUCUGCUGAAAAUGGGUUACGUAACAUAUGUGGCCUAAGUGAAAUAUUUCAAGCAAAUAUUAAUCUGAUCAGAUUAAACUAAAAGACUACCAAAGACCCCCCCAACUUAACAUAAAAAAUAGGGCCUAAGUGAAAUAUUUAACAGAUUAUGAUAAUUAUGAAUAAAAGAUUAAGAAUUAUGAAUGCCUAUUAAAACUCAAUUGGAAGAGGAUUUGUGUUUUGUUGUCUUCAGCAUUGAAGAUUUGCAAAUGUGAAACAUCAUGGUUAGUUGUAGGCUUUAGAGAUUCUAGAUGUAGGAAACGAAGUUAUUGAGUUAAAUUGUUUUUUAAAUUAGAAUAAGGAUUCUGAAGAACAAAAUAAUUAAUUUGAUUAAAUAUACUUAAGCCGCCAACUCUUUUAAUUAUAUAUAUACAUAUAGACACACACACACACAUAGGAUAGGGUUUAAUGUGGGCUUUUUUAUAAAAUAAAAUUACAAGGGACUUAAAUAAAUACAGUUAACAUUAAAAUUAACAACCUACGCUAAAUAAAUAAUUGAAUUUAGGAGGAAAGUUUAGUUCAAGGGACUCUCGCCCCCUGUGGUCACUCGUUGGAUUCAUCAAUGUUCAUACGAAUAUUGGAGCCCCUACGCACCUGCGAACCAAACAUUUACUUAUCAGAACAAAAACGAAGGGAAGAAGGGAAUAUCGUAUAGCAAUUGGAACGGUAGCAUUCAAACAAGUUGGCUCUGAUUAAAAAUUGUAUAAUAUAAUUUGUAUCUUAUAACUUUGAAGCAUUAAUCGACUUAUUAAAUGAUUUCCCUUGCAUGGUAUUGUACCCUUGAAUUUUGCUUCUUUUCUUUAGCCGUGUGAGACACAGGAUCCCUGAUCUGGCUCAGUGCUUAUUCUCUUUAAAUGUUGAAACUAUUAUCAAUCACUUGCUUGUCCCGGAAUUUAUUAAACUGCAGUCUUAAUUACUGACAUUUAAACGCAAAAUUCCAAGUACUUGUGUGGCACUUUUAAUUUGGUUGUCCACAAUUUAGUAAAAUUCAGAUUUCAACAUUUGUGCCUCUGUGUAUAUUUAAAUGCAGAUAAAGUCAUGGCAAGUGAACCACCUAACAUGGUACUUGAUCUUGUUGGAGAAAAGCUUCAUCGCCCAACCCCUGCACCUUCUCAAUUCAGCAUUUUCGGAGUCCCAGAUGUACCGCCCAAGUUAAAUGAAAAGGCUUACGAACCAGAAUUACUAGCAAUCGGUCCUUACCAUCACAGUAAACGUCACUUAUCGGCCUUUGAAGAGCACAAAAUCAGCUAUCAUCAAACUCUCAUAGAGCGAACGGGUAUACGUUAUGCAGAGUAUGUGAGGGCAAUGUGGGCACUGGAAGAAAGAGCUCGAAAUUGUUACGGAGGAUCCAUAAGUUUUGGCAAGAACGAGUUUGUUCAAAUGAUGUUUUGUCGAUAGUUGUUUCAUUGUUGAGGUUAUUCGUAAGUUUGGAUUGCCACAUUUGAGAGGAGAUGAUGGCCCCAUUUUUAAACAAGGAUGGAUGUUACCUCAUGUAGGAAGAGAUAUGAUUUUCCUUAACAAUCAACUUCCACUUUUCGUUGUUUGGAAGUUGUUUAUAAUGUCUGAGAUGUCUAAUAUUCCAAGGAACGAAAUUUACACUAUCAAGACAUUCAUGCUUUUAUUCUAGGAACUUUGCAUAUUUGUUGUUUGGUAGAAAAGGAGUGUCACGGAAUAGAGAAAAGUUCCACCCCACCUUUAGUCUGAUAAUAUGCCUCUCUGUUAAGUCUUUAGGUGUCUUGUUUUUAGCAUAUAUAUAGCAGAAGUCCAGCAGCUAACUCGUCCUUUACAUUGAACAAAUCUUAAUUAGCUGAGAAAAAAUUCAUAAGUUGAACAAAUAUUAAUUAGCUGAGAACUAAUCAUGAGUAGUAUUAGGGUCCGUUUGGGCUUGAGGUUGGUCAAUGUGUUUGGUAAACACUAAUCCAGGUACAUUGGUGAAAUCUUGAUCUUUGUACGACUUUUUCGUGAAUCAAUUCCUUAAAUUAGCACAAUAUUUCCCAUGAAGUUAUGCACACACCAAAUCAUGGUUCCUAUUCUAAUCUUAAUUAGACUGCAAGUAAUUCUGCUGUGCGCUCUGGCUUGUAGCAUUUUUUUUGGUCUUUAAUUUCGAAAGAUGAUAAUUAUUGUUAAUUCUUGAAUCACAUUUCAGGCAAGAUGUCGGGAACUGCCUUUACAUGAAGAGAAAGGCAUUAUAUGGCAAGUUUUCGCAGAAAGGUUUGUCCAUUUUCCUUUUUGCUGCAAUUCUGCAUUCUCAACGAAAGUAGUAUAGCAGUUUAUGCAGGCUUUCUACAUUUUUUUUUUUUUCAGUUUCGGAGGAUUUGGUGGCAAAUUGAAAAGGAAACAGAGCAAGGUUACAACAUGCUACUGCAUGAUUUAUUUAUAUCUGGACACUAUUUUAAUGAAAAUACGAAUCUUGGCUAAGCAUUGUUCUCAAAUGGAACGCGAGUGAGAAAAGACAGCUGUUAGGUUCAUCAAGUCAACAAUUCUAUUAAUCUUUGCAAUACAUCAUUGCAUAUAUUUGCAAAUGACUUAAUGACAAAAUCAGUCAGCUGUAAAUUGUUAAAUCGUUUGUGUUUGAUUCAGAGCUACAUCAUCUGAAAGAAUCCUUUGGUCCUUCAAAUGAGUUGAUCAUCUCCCUUCAACGUAGCAACCAACGUAAAACCAUUAACAAUGGUACCUUGUCUAGCACACUGCAACAAGAAGCACAAUUUUUAGCUUCUUACAACUAUGAGAAGAACACUUUGUGGGGAAAACAGGCAAGUAAUAACCUCUGGGAAAACAUUGGGAUGCCGUUAAUAUUAUUAAGCAGAUACUGAUUAUGUCAUUGAAUCUUUGCUUUUGGUUUCAAACCAGAUAGGAUACUUGUACAAAUCUCUGAUAGAAGAUUAUUUUACCGGAUUGAUUUUGCACUGCAAAGGAUGGAAAUCCGUCUUUUGCAAUCCAUCACGGUCAGCAUUCUUAGGAAGUGCUACAUCAAGUUUGAAUGACACAUUGGUUCAAGACACAAGAUGGAACUGCGGUUUGCUUGAAGUCACCUUCUCAAAGUGCUCCCCUCCUCUUUAUGGGCUAUCAAGAAUGCCUUUGCUUCAAACAAUGUGCUAUAGCUACUAUGCUUUGCAGCCAGUCUAAAACAUUGUAACUAUUUAUUUCUCUUCUACUCAGGUUUCAAGUCCAUGGUUUGUGAUCUUUUCAUCUAUUUUCUUAUGUUCACUACUGAAACAUUUGGUGGACGUUCUCGUCACCGGUGGUUCAGUCCAGACGUGGUGUAAUGAACAGAGGAUUUGGAUGAUAAAAUCACUCACUUGAAAUGUUUUUGUAUGAAACAACCUAGUUUCUCGCCCACAAAUAAACUUUCCGAUGAUGAACAAGUCAAGUUACACAAAAUGGGUAAAUUCAACUUCCAAACCUCAACCAAGUUUCUUGCUCCUUUAGCUACCCUAGUCAUGUUGAAUAUGAUUGCUUUUAGUGGAGGAAUUGCUAGAAUGGUGAUUUCGGGGGGCGCAAACGAGUUGCUUGGACAAGUUAUCCUCUCAUUUUACAUCUUACUGGAGAGUUACCCAAUAAUUGAAGGGAUGGCAUGGAGGAAGGAUAAAGGGCAAGUCCCAGCUUCUGUUGGGUUACUCUCUUUUGUUCUCUCCAUCAUUUUCUUGCUUUUGGGUUCCGUGGUUCUCAGGUUAAUUUGAAUUGUGCUAGAGGUUCAGAAUAAAAGCGAAAGGUCACAAUUAUGUGCUUCAUUUUUGAAAUAGUUAAUGCCCCCAUUAACUUCUUAUUGCUUUCAAAUGAUGCCGAUAAAGGCAACAGCCCUGUUUCACAGGAUGACCUAAUAAGAACAAAAUUGCAAAAUACUGGCACCUAUUGCUUAAUUGAAGGUCCUUGCGCUUGUUCAUGACACACUUAAACUCAUUGACUGGGGGCACAAGAAAUUUCGAUACCUUGCAUAUCACCACUUAAUUUUGUUAAUUCAAAUUAAUUCUUGUUCCUUAUGCUGAAGUACAAACGAUUUAUAUUAACCAUUCAAUCAUUUUUCAUCUCUAAUUAAACCAUUUCACCAUUUCAUUUGGAAACAAUUUCACUUUAUAUUAACACCAAGUGCCCUUUUUUAUUCAAUUGAAUAUGCCACUCACAAUGCCCUUUCGUAAACAACCCAAUGCCCGAAAGAUUACAUCUCUCCUUGCUUCCAACGUACUGCAGCAAGAGACCGAAGUUUUAGCCUCCUGCAGUUACGAGCAUCAAACAAAAUCAGGUAAAGAGGCAAGCAACAAGCACAUCAUCUUAUCAACUUAAACAUAGUCAAGUCUUAAUUGCAUUACUAAAUCAUUCUCACAUGCCAUCACAUUACAUCUCUCCUUGCUUUCGAAAUCAGGUGGGUUUUUCGUAUCAAGCUGUUUCGGAAGAUUUCUUUAAUAGCAUUCUAUAAGAGAGAUUGUAUCAUUUUGAAGUUUGAAAUUUUGGAAGAAAACGGCUAUUGAAAUACUUUAUUUUAUUUUCAUAAUUAUGUUUAAACAUACCAAUUAAAAGAUAGUGUUAAGUGAUGCUAAUAUUAUCAUAUCGAAACAUCACGGUCUAUGCAAUUUAUUAAAUUUCAUCACUCAUACUCUUAAACUAAAUAUCAUCUCGGUCAAUAAAAUGAUGUCAAGUUAAACCUCUAUCUAUGUUAGGACAAUACAAUUUGUUAAUAUGAAAGAUCUAAAAGAGUGACGAUUGCUAUCAAUUAUGCCAUUACUGAAGUUAAAUCAUCAAAAGAAGUCUCAUUGUUCAAUUCCCUUUUCAUUAUUCUAAUCUAAGAAGCUCGAUCAAAAUUUAAUCAAUAAAAAUAAAUCAAAAGUCUAACAAAUUUUUACAAUUGUAAGGUUCUCACCAUUAGGUUAGUUGUUAUUGUUACUCCUAUUUAGAACCUAAGGUUGUUUAAGCAUAUUUUAGGUAUUAGAUGUUUUAAGUCCCCUCCUUCCAGACUUGGGAUUCUUAGAAACAACAAAAUAUGAUAAUAUUAUUGAAAAUAAGGGAAUUGCUAAAAGAUUAGCCUCUUUUGAAUGGUUUGGUUCUCAAUACAAGAUGUGAAGAAUACAAUGGAUAAUUACUUCAAAAUAGAGUGGAAGGAUCUUAAUAUAAUAAAAAAGUAACGCAAAGUUAUACUUUCUACCAUAUUGGGUAGUAAAAGGAUGAUAAUGAAAAUAAUUGGACUUCCAGACUUGGGAUUCUUAGAAACAACAAAAUAUGAUAAUAUUAUUGAAAAUAAGGGAAUUGCUAAAAGAUUAGCCUCUUUUGAAUGGUUUGGUUCUCAAUACAAGAUGUGAAGAAUACAAUGGAUAAUUACUUCAAAAUAGAGUGGAAGGAUCUUAAUAUAAUAAAAAAGUAACGCAAAGUUAUACUUUCUACCAUAUUGGGUAGUAAAAGGAUGAUAAUGAAAAUAAUUGGAUAGACACUAAAUAUAUAUGAUAUUUAUUCCUAUAUAAGAGACAAUUAAGUCUAGUAUGAAAGUUGGAAGUGUAACGGUGGAACAUACAUGUGCCCUCAAAUUGAGGGCACAAUUUCUUACCACCAUUUUUAUCUUAGACAUUUGAAUAAAGAAAAAUGAUAUUUGAGUAUUAAGAAGACAUUGCAAAGAUAGAAAGGACAGCUUUAUAGCAUGAACAAUAGCACUGUUUUUAUCUUCUUAGGCCAUGUUUGAAUGCUAGGAUUAAGUAAGAGAUUGAACUAAUUUUGAAAUUAAAUAUUUAUUUCAUAUUUGGCAAGCAGAGUUGGAUCGAACUAAGGAGGACUAAAUUUAAAUUUAGUCUUCAAAUCGUGAGAUUUGUAAUCUUAAUAUACUCAUGGAUUUAUUAGAAUAAAAUUAAGGAAAAAAGAAAGUUGUCCAUUUAUAAAAGUUUCAUUCAUAACAUUAUUUUUUAUUUAUACCGAAUAUCAAUCAAUCAAAUAAUUAAUUAAUUUUUUUUAUUUAUGAUUUACUUAAAAUUUAUUUUUUUAUUUAUUAUCUAUGAUCUAAUUAAAUUGGUAGUUUUACUUCUACUAGAUUAAAUUUUCAUUACUUGCAUUUAAUAAUUUUUCUAUAAAAUUAACCACUUAAUAAUUUAUUGCAUUAUUGAUUGUAAUAAAUUUAAUAAUCACUAAUACAAUACUAAAUUGAUCUUUUCACACUUUUAGUAGAUAAAUUAAAAAUUGUCUCUAAGUAGGGGCACCUUUCUCAAAUCCUUUUUAGAGUUGACCAUGGCGAUAAAAUGGAGAGUUAAGAGCAUAACAAAGUCAAGAAAUAAACAAAAAUAUAUUAAAAUUUGAUGUUGAAGAUCAGCCUUAAGACUUAAAAUUACACAGCACAGUAAAAUGAUUCUGACCAUAAAUUCAGCAUUCAACAAAGCUCAAUUUUACAACAUUACCCCUUCAACUGUAAACUUUCUUGAACACUCUUCUUUCUCCCUCAAUUGUUUCUCUUCUUUUCAAAAAAAAUAAAAGAAAAGAAAAAUUGUUUCUCCUCAAUCUGAUGAAAAGCCACUUGAAACCAGAGCUCUUUUUUUUUUUUUUUAUAGUAAAAAUCUGUUUCAGAAUAUCAUCGAACAAGUUCUCUAGCUUAAAAUUAUCUUGACAAAUCUUUUUUAAUUUUUACUUUUUUUAUUAAAUAUACAUUUCACAAUAUCACAUGAAUUACAUACACAAGUAAAUUUUUUUAAUUUAACUGCUGUACGGCCAAGGCGGAUGUACGGUACAGCAGACUGCAAACAGAGCUUGCAGCAUCGUUAGGAGAAGUAUGGCAAAAGCAGCAAGAACGGAGAUGAUUGCCCACGGAGUGCUGAAAUAAUUGUGCCUCAAAUUGGCCAUCCACUUAUUACGACGCCUGCUGCGAUGGAAGUUCACUUUGUUAAAUACCUCCCAGUAAUAGAACUGCUUACCGAGUACAGCACCAUCACCAAGCUUGUGAAUUAAGGUUACAAUCACUUCAUCAUCUCCUAAAAAAUUAUCAAUUAUUCCACGAUGACGAAGUAAUUCAGCAUCCUUUGAAGAGUUGAUGAGGCAGCCCAACAAUUCAACAUAAUCUAUUACAUGCUUCGGAUUUAUGUCUUGGGAACACUGCUCAAAUGUAAUGAGAUUCUGAAAAAUGGUUUCUGUAGCAUCAGUAAUUUCCAGGGAUGGGAUCAUCAUUACCCCAUUUUCGAACUUAAUGUCGAACAAGGAAUCAUCCUUAUGGACCUCAAACAUCUGGAACUGGAUUCCAGCCUCUUGAAUGCCAGUGGCAGAACAAAUGAAGCUCCAGUCACUAUUCUUUUUGCCAUUAUUCCGAAAUGCUUCAAUGCCUGAUGGAAGCCAGUUGUCGUGUAUCAAAUGGACUAGAUGUUUGAUUUCAUUUAUGGGAUAGAGAUUAUCUCGACGAACAGUAUCUUUUCGACAGCCCUUUCCUGGUAAUAUGCCAUUGAAAAAACGCAGGAUCAUGAGAAGAAAUUUAUCACUAUCUUGAUCAUUAGGGAUCUUAGUCAUGGUAAACAACUCCCAGAGAACAAAAAAUGGAAGUUGAUUCUCAAGCAAAAUCAUAUCUCGUGCUAUGGAAGGUAACAUCCAACUCAGUUCAAAAAUUGGGUCAUUUCCUCUCAAACGUGUCAAUGCAAACUUACGAAUAACCUCAACGAUAAAACAACCAUCGAGAAGCAUCAUUAGCACAAAUUUAUCUGUCUCUAAACUUAGGGACCCUCCAUAACAAUUUUUAGCUCUUUCUUCCAUUGCCCUCAUGGCCGUGACAUAGUCUGGCAAAGGCUUGCUCGUACGGUGUAGAAGUUCUCUGAGAUAGCGUGUUUUGUGCACUUCAAAGGUCGAUAAUUCUUCUUUACCGUGAUGAUAAGGACCAAUUGCUAGCAUUUUUGGUUCAUAAGCCUUUUCAUUUAACUUACGCAGUACAUCAGGCACCUUAAAAAUGUUGAACCGAUCAGAUGGUGUAGCAGUUAGACC